rnacentral:misc_RNA from 1 species
AUUUAAUAACAAUACUUAGAUUGACGCAAUAUUUCCAGCAAGACGCUCCAAAUUGGGUUUAACAUAGAAAAAACCCAUAGCGGUUUUGCUGUGAGGAAACAUGUAAGUAGAAACCAUUUAAAUAGAGGGAUGUAAAGUAGACCUUAUCAUUCACGAAGCAGUCGAGCAGACGAUCACUUGUCGACAUAAAACAUUACAAACAUACACUCGCAACCAUGAAGCUGUCUGCUGUACUUGUGAUGUUGAUGGCGGUGUUCGCUUUGUUCAUCGGUCAGAGCAGCGCGAACCCUAAAGUUAACGUCAAUGCUAUUAGAAAAGGGGGCAGAGUUAUUAAAAAGGGUCUCGGAAUAAUCGGCGCUGCUGGUACUGCUCACGAAGUGUAUAAUCACAUUCGCAACAGAAAGCAUUAAGGCUCCAUAAAAUUGUCCGUUAAAUACCAAAUAUGUAUUCAUUUUUAUUUAAAUUGUGGUUUCCCAAUUCAUUUUCAAUAUAAAAUUGUACAGCAUUUAUUUAUUUUAUUUUCUAUUAACUUCAUAUUGGUGGGUGUCGUAAGAGGCGACUAAGGGAUAACACAGUUACACAGCUACCACCUUGGAACUUAAAAAGCCGGCCGGUGGUGUGAUAAUCAUCCAAAUGCUGGCUUUGAAAUACACAGGCCGAAGACGGGCAGCAGCGUCUUCGGUGCGACAAAGCCAACCCUGCGGUCACCAACCCGCCUGCCCAGCGUGGUG